rnacentral:rRNA from 1 species
CGCUAUCACUCCUACGGGGAGGCAGCAGUAGGGAAUCUUCCACAAUGGGCGCAAGCCUGAUGGAGCAACACCGCGUGAGUGAAGAAGGGUUUCGGCUCGUAAAGCUCUGUUGUUUAAAGAAGAACACGUAUGAGAGUAACUGUUCAUACGUUGACGGUAUUUAACCAGAAAGUCACGGCUAACUACGUGCCAGCAGCCGCGGUAAUACGUAGGUGGCAAGCGUUAUCCGGAUUUAUUGGGCGUAAAGAGAGUGCAGGCGGUUUUCUAAGUCUGAUGUGAAAGCCUUCGGCUUAACCGGAGAAGUGCAUCGGAAACUGGAUAACUUGAGUGCAGAAGAGGGUAGUGGAACUCCAUGUGUAGCGGUGGGAUGCGUAGAUAUAUGGAAGAACACCAGUGGCGAAGGCGGCUACCUGGUCUGCAACUGACGCUGAGACUCGAAAGCAUGGGUAGCGAACAGGAUUAGAUACCCUGGUAG